rnacentral:rRNA from 1 species
CAGUAGCCGCGGUAAUACGAAGUGUGCAAGCGUUACUCGGAAUUACUGGGCGUAAAGCGUGCGUAUGUGGUGGUUUAAGUCCGUUGUGAAAGCCCUGGGCUCAACCUGGGAAUUGCAGUGGAUACUGGGUCACUAGAGUGUGGUAGAGGAUAGUGGAAUUUCCGGUGUAGCAGUGAAAUGCGUAGAGAUCGGAAGGAACAUCUGUGGCGAAGGCGACUAUCUGGGCCAACACUGACACUGAGGCACGGAAGCGUGGGGAGCAAACAGGAUUAGAUACCCCCGUAGUCCCUGUCUCUUAUAC